AUAAUUAAAAAAAAAAAAAAAAGAAAAAGAAAAGCGGGGAUGAUAACUGGUUGUUAUGGAGACAGACCUUCCUUCUGCCAGCCUCCCGAAACUCAGGACCUGUGGGAUCCCGUGAGGUGCUCAGGACAACUUGACUGAUUUCAUGUUCUCUCUGAACCUUUACUGGGAAAAUGAUCCCUGCCGGCCACCAUCGGACCUCUCCUUCCGCUGCUUGACAUCAGCAGUGCUGAAAGACAGCAAUCUGGAGACAUUUCGGGGAGAUGAGACCCCAGCUUCACGGCGGCGGAGCCUGCAAGCUGAGGAGGCAGGAGGCUGAGUCAGGAAGUGAGGUGAGAACCGGUGGGAAGGGCUCAGGCUCAGCACCAGCCACCACUGUGUUCAGAGCCUACAUUUGUUGCCUCCUCGCUGGACAGCCUUGGAGAAAUCACUUCACCUCUCUGUGCCUACUUCAUGUGGUUAAAUGCAGUCAUAGAUGUGAAACACUUUUUAACGCAACCUAAUAAAACCCACUCAACAGUUCUC